rnacentral:misc_RNA from 1 species
CCGAGUUUACAACUCCCAAACCCAAUGUGAACGUUACCAACUGUUGCCUCGGCGGGGUCACGCCCCGGGUGCGUAAAAGCCCCGGAACCAGGCGCCCGCCGGAGGAACCAACCAACUCUUUCUGUAGUCCCCUCGCGGACGUAUUUCUUACAGCUCUGAGCAAAAAUUCAAAAUGAAUCA